rnacentral:lncRNA from 1 species
AGUCUCUGACUUGGUGUCAUUGCGAAGGUAUCUGCAAUACCUGGAACUUUUAUGACUAAACUACGGCAAUAAUGACUCUUCUCUCGCAUGAGAAAAAGAUGGUGGGGAAAAUGUUUCGUCUCGUCGUCGCGGUUGCCGUCGUCGCACAGGUCGCCGUGUCAGCGUCUGAAGCUCCUCAAACCAAGCGCCUGAUUGGCCGAGCCUUCUUCGCCGUAGCAGAACCUAACGAUGGCGCGGGGCAGGCGUCCCAGUCACCGAAUGCGCACGCAGUU